GUCAGAGCAUUUAAAGGGCCAGAACCAGUCUAAUAAAAUCCACUAUGCUCAAAUAACAUACAGUUCAAAUACAGGCAAUAAUCAAUGCAAAAGUCUCUUGUGGCUGCUUCUGCCACAGUCUGGUAUAGAGGCACUGAGGGCAGGAGUGUGGGGUGUCAGCGAGGUCUGGUAUAGAGGCACUGAGGGCAGGAGGGUGGUAUAACAGGGAGGUCUGGUAUAAGGGCACUGAGGGUAGGAGUGUGGGGUGUCCGCGAGGUCUGGUAUAGAGGCACUGAGGGCUGGAGGGUGGUAUAACAGGGAGGUCUGGUAUAAGGGCACUGAGGGUAGGAGUGUGGGGUGUCCGCGAGGUCUAGUAUAGGGGCAGUGAGGGCUGGAGUGUGGUGUACCAGGGAGGUCUGGUAUAGAGGCACUGAGGGCAGGAGUGUGGGGUGUCAGCGAGGUUUGGUAUAGAGGUACUGAGGGCUGGAGGGUGGUGUACCAGGGAGGUCUGGUAUAGAGGCACUGAGGGCAGGAGUGUGGGGUGUCCGAUAGGUCUGGUAUAGGGGCAGUGAGGGCUGGAGUGUGGUGUACCAGGGAGGUCUGGUAUAGAGGCACUGAGGGCAGGAGUGUGGGGUGUCCGCGAGGUCUGGUAUAGGGGCAGUGAGGGCUGGAGUGUGGUGUACCAGGGAGGUCUAGUAUAGAGGCACUGAGAUCAGGAGUGUGGGGUGUCCGCGAGGUCUGGUAUAGGGGCAGUGAGGGCUGGAGUGUGGUGUACCAGGGAGGUCUGGUAUAGAGGCACUGAGGGCAGGAGUGUGGGGUGUCCGAUAGGUCUGGUAUAGGGGCAGUGAGGGCUGGAGUGUGGUGUACCAGGGAGGUCUGGUAUAGAGGCACUGAGGGCAGGAGUGUGGGGUGUCCGCGAGGUCUGGUAUAGGGGCAGUGAGGGCUGGAGUGUGGUGUACCAGGGAGGUCUGGUAUAGAGGCACUGAGAUCAGGAGUGUGGGGUGUCCGCGAGGUCUGGUAUAGGGGCAGUGAGGGCUGGAGUGUGGUGUACCAGGGAGGUCUGGUAUAAGGGCACUGAGGGUAGGAGUGUGGGGUGUCCGCGAGGUCUAGUAUAGGGGCAGUGAGGGCUGGAGUGUGGUGUACCAGGGAGGUCUGGUAUAGAGGCACUGAGGGCAGGAGUGUGGGGUGUCAGCGAGGUUUGGUAUAGAGGUACUGAGGGGUGGAGGGUGGUGUACCAGGGAGGUCUGGUAUAGGGGCAGUGAGGAUUUUGAAUAAAUUGGGUUAUAACUCCAUGCCAGGCAUUACAUGGACUAAUAUGGAGCUGGUCCCUCCCUGCACUUACACUACAGUAGCCUCGUUAAUGUAAUUAAUCUGGGCCUGGACUUGCAGGACUCCUUUUCCAGAGGAAGCAGACGUACUGUUACCCACGUCCAUCACACCUGCAGAGCUCAGGUUUCCCAUUUCUACUGCCAGACCUUUGGCCUCAUUUAAUGGCAGUCCCCAGGGUGUCGAAUGCCUAGCUAUGGGGGCCACGGGAUUUUAGGCUUCCCCGUUACUAUGUGUGGUGUGAUUAGGGACCCCGCUCUGGACCUCCGGUCUGCCCGCUGCUUUUCCAUUAUGUAUUCGUGGACAUCUGCCAUAAUCCUUUCCACGGUUUCUGUGGGAGGCGUACCUGGGAAAAAGGCCAGUCUGCUUUGGAGUUCUCUUCCAAACUCAUUCUGUGUGCUGUCCAUAAGAGGUGCUGCAGCAGCUGCCCGGUCUCCCUCCAUGAGUUCAGCAAUAAGGGUAGCUUUGGUUUUAUUGCUGGCAAUAAUUCCCCUUGCUUCCAAUAGUUCUUUUAGCGUGGCCCGUUUCAGGUUGGUAUAGUCUGUCCCCGUUCACUAUCCGUUCGGGUAUAUUCACAUACCCUUUCCUUUCGGUUCCAUACGAAAUAGCAAAUUUCCCAAAUGGCUGUAACUGCCGAACAAUGGUCUGCUGUGAGGUUUGAAUCCCGUCGCUGCCACCAAUUGUGACGGACCCGCUGGCACUCCGACCGAGUACCUCCGUCAAUCGAUGCUCCUAGUGCUUGCCGAGGACUUCAAGCACUCCAACCGACACCAUCAGCACUGCAGACUUAUCCCAUCCCCCAAGCAUGAGCCAAGGCUUCAAGAAAGGGUCAAGCAGGUCUGUUUAAUGAGCACACAAAGCAACAGCACUCACGCAGCAAAACAACCCCUCCACAGAGGAAAACAAACUGACAGUUAAAGACAGACAGCGUUUGGAAAUAUGACAGUUAUUAAGGGUUUUUAAGCUGGUGUUCUAGGAGGGAGGGGAAUAAAACAGUCAAACUAAGUCCAUAAAACAGGGUUUUUCUUCACACUCUGCAUCCGAAGUGCAUAGCAAAACUGCAGAUCCUUUGUCAGAGCAUUUAAAGGGCCAGAACCAGUCUAAUAAAAUCCACUAUGCUCAAAUAACAUACAGUUCAAAUACAGGCAAUAAUCAAUGCAAAAGUCUCUUGUGGCUGCUUCUGCCACAGUCUGGUAUAGAGGCACUGAGGGCUGGAGGGUGGUAUAACAGGGAGGUCUGGUAUAAGGGCACUAAGGUCAGGAGUGUGGGGUGUCCGCGAGGUCUGGUAUAGGGGCAGUGAGGGCUGGUGUGUGGUGUACCAGGGAGGUCUGGUAUAGAGGCACUGAGGGCAGGAGUGUGGGGUGUCAGCGAGGUCUGGUAUAGAGGCACUGAGGGCUGGAGGGUGGUGUACCAGGGAGGUCUGGUAUAAGGGCACUGAGGGAAGGAGUGUGGGGUGUCCGUGAGGUCUGGUAUAGGGGCAGUGAGGGCAGGAGUGUGGUGUACCAGGGAGGUCUGGUAUAGAGGCACCGAGGGCUGGAGGGUGGUGUACCAGGAAGGUCUGGUAUAAGGGCACUGAGGGCAGGAGUGUGGGGUGUCCGCGAGGUCUGGUAUAGGGGCAGUGAGGGCUGGAGUGUGGUGUACCAGGGAGGUCUGGUAUAGAGGCACUGAGGGCAGGAGUGUGGGG
rnacentral:lncRNA from 1 species